rnacentral:rRNA from 1 species
CAGUCGCCGCGGUAAUACGAAGGGUGCAAGCGUUACUCGGAAUUACUGGGCGUAAAGCGUGCGUAGGCGGUUGGUUAAGUCUGCUGUGAAGGCCCUGGGCUCAACCUGGGAACUGCAGUGGAAACUGGCCAGCUAGAGUGUGUCAGAGGAUGGUGGAAUUCCCGGUGUAGCGGUGAAAUGCGUAGAGAUCGGGAGGAACACCAGUGGCGAAGGCGGCCAUCUGGGACAACACUGACGCUGAGGCACGAAAGCGUGGGGAGCGAACAGGAUUAGAUACCCGUGUAGUCCCUGUCUCUUAUAA